GUGAGUAUGAAUUGGCUUUCCCGGAGACGGCCUGGGACGUGGGAUAUUUAACCCAUCUGUGUUUUCAUCCGCCCCUGAUCAAGCCCACCGAGGCAGAACGGACUUUACGGGAGAAACAGUCCUGGACCAUGUGGUUUCUGGUUCGGCUGUGCUGACCAGCAGCUGAAGGCACGCCGAUUCCCCUUCUCCCUCUGGGAUCUGGCAGGUAAAGUGGCAGGUAUUGCCCCUUGGAUCCAUCAUACGAGGGUGAAGAGAACAUACCACACAGACCCAGAAAAUGCUGAGUGGACUGCACAGAGGGACCCCGCUGACCCUCGAGAGACGAAGACCAUCCUUAAAAGAUCCUGGAUGAGCCCCUUCAGGAUGAAGCCGCACAAUCAACUCCUGCUGCUUGGCCUCAUCAACGUGAUUUUGAAUUUAACUUCCGUUUCAACUCAGGACAAUGUGUUCAUCUCGUGGGCCCCUUCCUACGCAGACUUCCCCAGCACUUCCAGCUGCUGGGAAACAGGUGUCAUGGUUAAAGCAGAGGCCUUGACUAAUUUCACACGACAGCCCCUCCUGGAUAGAAGAAAGCCACCCAAGCCUUAAGUGAAGAGCAGAUCCAGAUGAGAAAAGCGGGACUUCACGACAGAACCGCUUUGGACACACUCACAGCUGCUCAGGGAGGGACCUGUACCAAAAUCAAGGUUGAAGGUUGCGCAUACGUCCCUGACUUACCUGGCGAUGUAGCGACUGCUCUAGGCGACAGGAAAACCAGGUUGAUGUCAUUCUCCCGAAUUGGCGGUCGGAGAGCCAGGGUGCAAUACAUCCCUAUGAAUGAUGCUCAUAUUAUGAGUUAAGAGCAUCAAGAGGGGGGAAUGAAGAAGGAAUUCAUAGGGCCUGACUCCAUCUCAGGCCUGUUCAUGCUGACCGCGCUCGGCCACCUUUCCGAUGGACGCUGAACUCUGUGCUUAGUGCCUGUGAACACAACAACAGAAGGGUAAGACCCCCUCCAGACAGGGGAGCCUUGUAGAUCCUAUCUAGGUUACUCAUCGCCUAAGAGAAAGCAUACACUAAUCACCCCUUCCUCCAGACAGGCCAUAAAUUUUUCUGUAUCUAUCGGAGUGACCUCGGGUUUAUUGAUUAUUGGCCAAUUGUUUGACUGUUUGAGCACAUGAGCACGCAGCACGUGAAUGAUGGGUUAUUGGGACUGUAUUUUCCUUGCAUUAUGUAAGUCUCAAGGAAUUUGGACUGGUGGGUUCAGACACGUACACAUGGGUAUAAAAGAUUUUCACAAAUGCUGGUCGGGGUCCUUGGCUAAGAGCAGACUGUGCCUCGGGCCCGCCGGUGUAAUAAACUGCUCUCCAC
ensembl:lncRNA